ACCGCUCUCCAAGGACUCUCGAGCAGCUCCAUCUACAGAUUCACAUGGAGAAGAAUUAAGGGUUCCUGCCAAUCACCAGCACCACUUUGCCAGCCUUGUAAGUGGGCCACCUUGGAAUUGGAGCCUCCAGUUCCUACUGACAUCUGACUGCAACAUCAUGAGAGACCCUGAGUUUGAACCACCCAGCUGAGCUGCUUCUGAGCUAACCCACUGAAACCGUGAAAGUACCUGAAUGAAACAACACCCAGUAGCCACUAGCACACCUAGCUCCCAGAUCUGUUUUUGAUGCCAUUCUUCAGUAAAAGGAAGCAAGGCUGCUUGGAGAAAUUGCUAUCAAGGACUGGGGUAGAAAAUAUACAAGAUGAAAUUGGAGCAUCUUGUAGUGCUUGAAAACAGUUGGCAUCUGUGUGAAGAUGUGAAUGGAGGAGGCAGAGUAGGCAGUGAGUGCCGCAGCCACAGCUUGUGUUCUCUGCAGCCCUGGCACAGAAGAUAGGAACACUCAUGGGGGAUGCGGCCACUGUGAUGUCUUCCCACACAAGAAGUGCCAAGUGCUUUUCUCAUGCUUUUCUGGAUUGUCCCAUGGUGGACGAGUCAGCAGGAGUGAGAUGGAGCAGCACAGUAGAGGGCACCUGCUCUGUUUUGUCCCAGGCCAGGAUAUCGUUGUACAUAUUCUCAGCUAAGUGAGCACCAAUAGAGGAGAGGGAGAGUCUCAUGGAAGUUCCUUCUAAGCCUUUGGCUCUUUUUACCUUCAACAAGGUGUGCCACCUCUUUGAUCCAGCAAGUGGGAAGAACAGUCCCGGCCUCUUUGCACACAAGACCGUGAUACCAAUGCACCAUCACAGGCCCCACAGGGGAGCUGUCCGCUUCCCCACACAGCUGCUAGGGGCUCUUUUGCAUGUUCCCAACCUUUCCUGCCUUUAUCUGAUAUUCGUUCCUUAGAUCCUGGGAUGAGGAGGUGGACCAGCAGAAGGUGGGCUUGUGAAGGCAGCCCGGGGUCCAAAUCCUCCUGGCUCUUCAGCUUAGCGGGGUUGCUUAGACUCAGUGGUGUGCUGGAGCAGGCUCCUACCAGCUAGAAAGAACCAGUUCAAUACGUCUCUUCUCAACUCCAUGUUCAGAGUUGUCAGAGAACCAAUUGUUAAAUAUUUACUGGCACUCCACUGCUUAGAUUUUACCAGUGCUUGCAGUGCUAACCAGGAGCUCAUCCCUGGAGGAGAGGCAGAGAAUGUGUACUCCCAGAUGCAGCCAGCUUCCAGAAGAAGAGGUAGGAGCCAAGCAGAGCAUGCCCACAUCAAUCUUCCAGCAUUUAAUGGCCAUAGAAGUUACUGAACCUCCCUUGGAUGGAUAGAAGAUGGCAUUAUCUUUCUUAAAUAUGAUACCUCUUAUCUUUUUGUUCCCUUGACACUUGAGGAGGGAGGCCAAGGGUUGAUCAUGCAAGCAAGUUUGUGCAUUUUGCACAUUUAUUAAGUUAUGCUUUUGAGGAAAUUAAAAGAUCACAAGGGCUUCAA
rnacentral:lncRNA from 1 species